rnacentral:rRNA from 1 species
UACGUAGGGGGCAAGCGUUGUCCGGAUUUAUUGGGCGUAAAGAGCGUGUAGGCGGCUAGGUAGGUCCGUUGUGAAAACUCGAGGCUCAACCUCGAGAUGUCGGCGGAAACCGUCUGGCUAGAGUCCGGAAGAGGAGAGUGGAAUUCCUGGUGUAGCGGUGAAAUGCGCAGAUAUCAGGAAGAACACCUAUGGCGAAGGCAGCUCUCUGGGACGGUACUGACGCUGAGACGCGAAAGCGUGGGGAGCGAACAGG